UAAUAGAUUCCAAAACUUGACGCAGUGAAGUAAGAGAACGAGAAACAGUAAGUGAAAUACGAGUCUCGAUUUUAACAUCUUCAGGUAAAUCAUCGAAAUUAACCGGAGGAAGAAGAUGAUAAUCCAUGGAAGAAGGAAGCGAGUUCAGAAAAAUUUUCUGAGCGUUAGAAAUUGGGCCAUCAGUAGGGAGAAUCAGAGAAACAGAAAAGUGAUGAUGGAGAAAAAUUCUCUUAGCAAAUUCGACAAGAGGGAUUAAAUGACCCAUACCAGGAGAAGGUAAAAUUGCUAUAUGAGGAAUUUGCGCCAUUGUUGAGAAGAUGAACUCUGGUUCAACAAAAGAGAGAAGAAGUGAAAAAUAGAAGUGAA
rnacentral:misc_RNA from 1 species